UACAGGGGGUGCAAACGUUGCUCGGAAUUAUUGGGCGUAAAGCGCGCGUAGGCGGCUACUUAAGUCGGAUGUGAAAGCCCUUGGCUCAACUAAGGAAGUGCACCCGAAACUGAGUGGCUUGAGUACUAAAGAGGGUCGCGGAAUUCCCGGUGUAGAGGUGAAAUUCGUAGAUAUCGGGAGGAACACCGGUGGCGAAGGCGGGUUGCUGGGCCGACACUGACGCUGAUGCGCGAAAGCCAGGGGAGCAAACGGG
rnacentral:rRNA from 1 species